GGGCCAAAGUACGACCUUGAGUAUAUCUUACCUGUACUUACAGACCACCUCGAGAAUACAUUUUACGUGUUAAACUUAACAACUGAAGACCAGGUGAGUUGUGGAAUGACAUCAAGGACAUCACACAUGAAGAAAGCAAGAGGUCCUUUAAAAGACAGGAAAGAAAGAAAAGACCAAAACGGAUGUCAGAAGAGACUCUGAACCUUGCUCUUGAAUGUCGGGUAGCUAAAGUGAAAGGAAGAAAUGACGAAGUAAUAGAGCUGAAGAGAAGAUUUCAAAGGGUGGCUUGAGAAGAAAAAGUAUUAUAAUGACAUGUGUAAAGAUCUGGAGAUGGAUAACCAAAACGGAAGAACACUCAGCAUUUCUCAAGCUGAAAGAACUGAAGAAAAAACUCAACCCUUGAGUUGCAAUACUGAAGGAUUCUACGGGUAUAAUAUUAAAUGACGCAGGAAGCAUCAAAAGAAGAUGAAAGUAAUACCCACAGUCACUAUACCAAAAAGGAUUGGUCGGCCUUCAACCAUUUCAGGAAGUAGCAUAUGAUCAGAAACCGAUGAUACUGAAGGAAGAAGUUCAUGCUGCCCUGAAGGAAUUGGUGAGAAAAAAAAGCCUCCGAGAAUUGACGGAAUACCAACUGAGAUGUUUCACCAAAUGGAUGCAGCACUGGAAUCGCUCACUUGUCUAAUCCCAAGAAAUAUGGCCUACGAACUGGCAAGCAUCCAUAUUUACGCCUAUUCCUAUGAAAGGUGAUCCAACCAAAUGUGGAAAUUAUCAAACAAUAUCAUUAAUAUCACAUGCAAGUAAUAUUCUGCUAAAAAUCAUUCAAAAGCAGCUGCAGCAGUACAUUGACAGGGAACUGCCAGAAAUUUAAGCAGGAUUCAGAAGAGGACAUGGAAGAAGGGAUAUCACAGCUGAUGUCAUAUCGAUUCUGGCUGAAAGCAGAGAAUACCAGAAAGAUGUUUACCUGUGUAUUAUUGACUAUGCAAAGGCAUUUGACUGCUUGGGUCAUAACAAAUUAUGGAUAACAUUGCGAAGAGUGGGAAUCCCAGAACACUCAAUUGUGCUGAUGAGGAACCUGAUCAAGAGGUAGACGUUCAAACAGAAAAAGGUGAUACUACGUGGUUUAAAGUCAGGAAAGGUGUGUGUCAGGGUUGUAUCCUUUCACAAUACUUAUUUAAUCUGCAAAUAAUCUGAGAAGCUAGACUAUACGAAGAACACGACAUCAGGAUUGGAGGAAGACUCAUUAACAACCUGCAUUUUGCAGAUGACACAACCCCGCUUGCUAAAAGAUAAGAGGUCUUGAAGCACUUACUGAUGAAGAUCAAAGACCGCGGCCUUCAGUAGAGAUUGCACCUCAACAUGAAGAAAACAAAAAUCCUCACAACUGGGCCAAUGAGCAACAUCGUGAUAAACGGAGAAAAGAUUGAAGUUGUCAAGGAUUUCAUCUUAUUUGGAUCCACAAUCAACACGCAUGGACACAGCAGUUAAGAAAUCAAAAGAUGCAUUGCAUUAGGGAAACUGGCUGCAAAAGACCUCUAAAGUGUUGAAAAGCAAAGACAUCACCUUGAAAACGAAGAUGCAACUGAUCCAAGCCACAGUGUUUUCAGUGGCCUCGUAUGUGUGGGAAAGCUGGCUGAUGAAUAAGGAAGACUGUAGAAGAACUGAUGCCUUUUAAUUGUCGUAUUGGUGAAGAAUUCUGAAUACACCAUGAAUUGCCAAAAGAAUGAAAAAAUCUAUCUUGAAAGAAGUAUAACCAGAACGUACCCUAGGCUAGAAGCAAAGAUGGCCAGACUACAUCCUACAUACUUUGGACCUGUUUUCAGGAGGAAUUAGUCCAUGGAGAAGAAUAUCAUGUACUAUUUCUUUGGACUAUCUAAGACCUGAAGAACAAAAUCUCAUGGUCCAAAUUAACGUUUUUACUUACUAAUUUUCAAAUGUAGCCCUGGUGGAACAUUUGGUUAAGAGCUUGGCUGAAACUAAAAGGUCUCAACCAGCCUCUCCUUAGAAGCCCUGCUGUGCAGUUCUAUUCUGUCCAAUAGGGUCACUGUUAGUUAAAAUUUAAUCCACAGCAAUGAGUUAUUUAAUUUUCAAAUACAAAUUUGUUGUGUUAAUGUCUAAAUUCUAAAUUAAAUUUUAUUUUAUAAACUACCUGUUUUAUAAAUUUACUUUCUAUUAUUCAAAUUUAUUGUUAUGGUAGAAUCAAAUUUAAAAAGUGACAUAAUUUUAUAUCCAGGCAAAAUGAAAUGGCAAUAACUAAGUGGAGUGCAAAAAUGGAAGCCUGCAGGAGAUAAAAAGAAAAUGAUUUGUGAAUCCCUAAAGACAAUCCCCAAAUUCCUUUUUAGAAUGUAAUAAAUCAGAAGAGACUUCUUCCAUUAAAGAAGCAUUAGAAGAAACAAGUAAAUGACAGAAAUGCUCCAGAAGUAUUGAGUGCCAGGAAUCAAUUUUACAUAACCACCAUCACUGACACACUUGAAUCUUGCAUGAAAUGAAGGGCAAAAUGAAAUGCCAAUAACUAAGUGGAGUGCAAAAAUGGAAGCCUGCAGAAGAUAAAAUGAUUUGUGAAUCCCUAAAGACAAUUCCAAAAUUCCUUUUUAGAAUGUAAUAAAUCAGAACAGACUUCUUCCACUAAAGGUACAUGCUUAAUGGGUGGGAAUCAUCCUACUAGUACCACUAGUGCUGAAAUUAACGAUGGCAAUACAAAUAAGAGAAUUUGUUCCAAAUUCUGCAUCCAUUUCUUGCUGUAGUAAAAAAAAAAAAAUUAGUAAUGAUCUAGAAAGUGAAACUAAGAAUAUUAAAUUGUCACAUCUGCAGACCCCAUAAAUAACAAAAAUGCAGAUCCUGCCUUGUGGAAUAAUUUUCUUCCAACGAAGUAAAUUACUGGAUCAAAAGAGGCCCAAGUGAUUGUCAACAUCACAGUUGUCCACUUGUAAAUUUGUGUUGAAAAUUCCUGGACGGUAAACAAAGUUCUGUAGCCAGAAUUUCUUCUAGAGUGCAAAGUUAAUGAUGAAAAUUAUAAGAGGGAGUGGCUACUGCAAUCUCCAUCAGUCAGCUCUGUGUAUUGUUUUGUUUGCAAACCUAGUAACCAAACAAACAAACCCGUCAUCCUCAUUUAAUUCUUGAAUUGUUACAGAUGAAUUUAGCAAUUGGUGCAAAUUGAAUAGGAUCGGUAAACAUGAAAAUAGUUCAAUUCACAAAGAUUAUGUUAUCAUAUUUAAACCAAACACACUGUUCUGGCUUAAUUUAUGAAGUGGAAUCACAAAUUAAUAAACAUCAGUAUUGAAAGGCCAUUUUGUAAUGUGUCAUUGUUGUCAUAACAAUCACCGAAUGGGGACUAUCUUCGUGAAAAAGAAAUGAAGUCUUUGGGUCCCCACGAAAUGGAAAAUUUUAAAGUUGACUUCAACUUGUUGCUCAUUUGAUCUAUUUUUAGCAAGUCACAUCUCAAAACACGGUAACACAGGAAAGGGCAAUCCAUCCUAUAAUUCUAAAAUAAUGUGUAAAAAAUUUAUAAUUUUGAUAAGUGAUGAAAUUCAAUCAACUAUUUUCAGUGAAAUAAGUAUAGCUCGAUAUUUCAUUUUGUCUGUGGAUUCCACUUCUGAGCCUUCUCAUACAGGCCAGCUAAGGAUUGUUUAAAGAUCCGUAUCUCCAACAGAUAGAAAACCUGUGUGGUGAUUUAUCACAUUUACUAGCUUAAAAAAUCUAAAAAAUCAUACUGGUAAAGACAUUGCAAAGCAAGUGUUUCACUAAUUAUGUGAAGUUUGCAAAAUUGAUUUUUCUAAGUGCAGAGACCAAUCCUAUGACAAUGCUGCCAUUACGUCACUGCAUUAUAAAGGCAUGCGACAGAAAAUUCUGGAAUGAAAUUAAUAUGCCAUUUUCAUACCAAGGUGCUGCACAUUCACUUAAUUUUGUAGGAUGUAUCACAAUAGAUUUUUUUUGUCCAAAACCAAUUGAUGUUUUUUCGAAUAUUCAGUUACUUUACAAAUUUUUUGCCACCUCUACUCACUGAUGAGCUGUUCUUAAAACAUAUUCAGGCAAUGACUGAACAUUAAAAUGUCAUGCUAUAGCAACAAGUACAAUUCUAGGUGCCACACAGAAUAUUGCUGAAGACCAGAUACAAAAAGGAAACACCAAAACAGAAGCUAAAAUCAUCGCUGCCUUAGUCAUCUAGUGCUGCCACAACAGAUACCGUAAGUGGAUGGCUUUAACAAAGAGAAAUUUAUUUUCUCACAGUCUAGUAGGUUACAAGUCCAAAUUCAGGACGUCAGCUCCAGGGGAAGGCUUUCUCUCUCUGUUGAUUCUGGAAGAAGGUCCUUGUCCUCCAUCUUCCCAUGGUCAAGGAGCUUCUCAGGCGCAGGGACCCCGGGUCCAAAGGACAUGCUCUGCUCUUGGUAGUAUGAGGUCCCCAACUCUCUAUCCUUUCAUCUCCUGAGAGAUAAAAGGUGGUGCAAGCCACACCCUAGGGAAACUCCCUGUAUCUCGGAUCAGGGAGGUGUUAAAAUCCCACCCUAAUCCUCUCAACAUAAAAUUACCAUCACAAAAUGGAGGACAACCUCACAUGGCCUAUCCAAGUUGAUACACACAUUUUGGGGGGACAUAAUUCAAUCCAUGACAUUCUACCCUUUGGCCCCCCCAAAAUCACAUUCUUGCAAAUGGAAAACAUAUUCGUCCCAUCACAAACCAAAACCAAACCCACUGCCAUCCAGUCGAUUCUGACUCAUAGCGACCCUAUAGGACUGAGUAGAACUUCCCCAUAGAGCUUCCAAGGAGCACCUGGCAGAUUCGAACUGCCAACCUUUCGGUUAGCAGCCGUAGCACUUAACCACUAUGCCACCAGGGUUUCCUCAUCCCAUCAUAGCAUAGAAAAAAGUCUUAAAUCAAGUCCAAGUCCAAAAUUCAAAAAUCCCUCUUCAUCUGUGAAAUCU